rnacentral:misc_RNA from 1 species
GAAACAAGCUAAUUUAUCAUUUGUAGCCCAUGAAAGAUGGAAUGUAUUAAACACAAAAGGUGAAUCACUGACAAUCACCAAUGUCACUUCUGAUGAGAACCAUACUCACAGCACAUCCAGUAUUGUGCCCUUCAACACAUUCUACCAAACAUUCCAACGGUUUAGCAAAUUCCAACAUGUUUAGGAGAACAACUGUGAGAAAAAGAGUGUUCAAAGUCUUGGAAAGUUAUGGACUACAAGCGCCGAAUCAAUCUAUUUUUAUACAAUAUCGAGCUCAACCCUCUAAUAGUACGGCUUGAGGAGACCCAUAACUAAGUAAUUCCUUCUACAAAAAAAGACAAGGACAAUAACAGAAACCUUAUGCAAACUCAACUUUAGGCAUGAAGUUUUAGCUAAAUCCCAACCUAAACUAGUAAGGAGAUGGCACACUCAAUCUACCCACACUCAGAUUCCCUUCCCAGCUCGCAGCACUACCAAGCAACCUAGCAAGUUUUUUCAGGAAA